GAUCCUGGCUCAGGACGAACGCUGGCGGCGCGCCUAACACAUGCAAGUCGAACGAGCGAGAGAGAGCUUGCUUUCUUCGAGCGAGUGGCGAACGGGUGAGUAACGCGUGAGGAACCUGCCUCAAAGAGGGGGACAACAGUUGGAAACGACUGCUAAUACCGCAUAAGCCCACGACCCGGCAUCGGGUUGAGGGAAAAGGAGCAAUCCGCUUUGAGAUGGCCUACGCGUCCGAUUAGCUAGUUGGUG
rnacentral:rRNA from 1 species